ACACGAUAACGGCAAACUUGGCGAAAGCCAGGGACGCAAAGCUACAGGGUCUUCCAAUCCAUGGAUUGAUGACAGCCAGCUACCGAA
rnacentral:ncRNA from 1 species